AGAAAAGUUGCUAGCACAAGCAAAAUAAUCCUGGUAAAUGUUUCAGCAAGAGUUCUCUUUCUUAGGGCUUCAAGAGCAGUGACUCUUAUUUAUAUUUAUAUAAAAAAUUUUCAGUGUCUAGUUUGCCACAAGGCGUGCAAGCGAGGAGGGCAAAAGUUGCAGGCACUUGACAACAAGAGAAAGGCCAGUCACAGAACACAAACCCAAUCCAGCCGGAGAACCCAUGCAUUCAAUUAGAAAAACCUUCCUGGUUCAAAGUCAUGUAGGUGCGGUCGAGCGGAAAAAGCCCAAGAGCUCCCCGCGUGGGGACCAUAUACACAGG
rnacentral:lncRNA from 1 species